GUAUGUGUACCUUCGAUAAAAUUGGAACGAUACAGAGAGGAUUAACAUGACCCCUGAGCAAGGAUGACACACACAAAUUGAGAAAUGGUUCAAACUUUU